UACGUAGGGGGCAAGCGUUGUCCGGAUUUAUUGGGCGUAAAGAGCGUGUAGGCGGUUUGGUAGGUCCGCUGUGAAAACUCGAGGCUCAACCUCGAGACGCCGGUGGAAACCAUCAGGCUAGAGUCCGGAAGAGGAGAGUGGAAUUCCUGGUGUAGCGGUGAAAUGCGCAGAUAUCAGGAAGAACACCCCGUGGCUAAGGCGGCUCUCUAGUACGGUACUGACGCUGAGACGCGAAAGCGUGGGGAGCGAACAGG
rnacentral:rRNA from 1 species